rnacentral:tmRNA from 1 species
UCGCUUUUAUUUAACCCAGCUCUCGCCUAUAUAAGGGGUGCCGGAUUCGUCCGGCUAUGGCGAUAAACGGACGCCGCAAUAAACCUAUCGGACCCGGGGGCAGUACCCGGCGCCUCCACCUCAGGGGUCAGGUCAGUGCCCCCUAGCCCGGUGCCGACCGGCGGGGCGCGCAGCUUGAGGUGACCUCUGACCCUUGCGGUGGGGGCGAACUAGGAUCGACGAGGGUGUAAAGGGCGCUCUUUUGCUCGGCAUGAUACCGCCGUUAUCGGGUCAAUCAGAAUAGUUGCCAAUGACAACUAUGCUGAGGCUGCUCUCGCUGCGUAACGCGGCGCGAAAAGCCUGAACUUGAAGCCCUGGCGUCUAGCCACGCCAGGCGCGGUCUCGGAGGGCACCGGGCAACAGAAGCCCUCCACU